rnacentral:rRNA from 1 species
AGCGAACGCUGGCGGCAGGCCUAACACAUGCAAGUCGAACGAACUCUUCGGAGUUAGUGGCGGACGGGUGAGUAACACGUGGGAACGUGCCUUUUGGUUCGGAAUAACUUAGGGAAACUUGUGCUAAUACCGAAUGUGCCCUUCGGGGGAAAGAUUUAUCGCCAUUAGAGCGGCCCGCGUCUGAUUAGCUAGUUGGUGAGGUAACGGCGCACCAAGGCGACGAUCAGUAGCUGGUCUGAGAGGAUGACCAGCCACACUGGGACUGAGACACGGCCCAGACUCCUACGGGAGGCAGCAGUGGGGAAUCUUGCGCAAUGGGCGAAAGCCUGACGCAGCCAUGCCGCGUGAAUGAUGAAGGUCUUAGGAUUGUAAAAUUCUUUCACCGGGGACGAUAAUGACGGUACCCGGAGAAGAAGCCCCGGCUAACUUCGUG